UAAGUAGCAAGGUUAAGCACUUAAGGUGCGGAGCCGUAGCGAAAGCGAGUUUUAACUGAGCGUUCAGUUACUUGACGUAGACCCGAAACCGGGCGACCUACCCAUGAGCAGGAUGAAGCGAAAGUAAAAUUUCGUGGAGGUCCGAACCCACGAGCGUUGAAAAGCUCGGGGAUGACUUGUGGGUAGCGGUGAAAUUCCAAUCGAGCCCGGAGAUAGCUGGUUCUCCCCGAAAUAGCUUUAGGGCUAGCCUCAAGGUGAGAGAUACGGAGGUAGAGCACUGAAUGUCCUAGGGGGUAUUGCACCUACCGAAGACUAUCAAACUCCGAAUGCCGUCAUCUUAUACUUGGGAGUCAGACUGUGGGUGAUAAGAUUCAUAGUCGAAAGGGCAACAGCCCAGAUCGUCAGCUAAGGUCCCUAAAUGUAAGUUAAGUGGUAAAGGAUGUGGGAUUGCACAGACAACCAGGAUGUUGGCUUAGAAGCAGCCACUCAUUCAAAGAGUGCGUAAUAGCUCACUGGUCGAGUGAUCCUGCGCCGAAGAUUUCCGGGGCUAAAACUUACUACCGAAGCUACGGCAUCAGUAAUGAUGGGUAGGGGAGCUUCCCAUACGGGUUGAAGCAUGACCGUAAGGACAUGUGGACAGUAUGGGAGUGAGAAUGUUGGCAUGAGUAGCGAGAUGUGGGUGAGAAUCCCACAGGCCGUAAACCCAAGGUUUCCAGGGGAAGGUUCGUCCGCCCUGGGUUAGUCGGGACCUAAGCUGAGGCCGAAAGGCGUAGGUGAUGGACAACAGGUUGAUAUUCCUGUACUACCGAUAACCGUUUGAGAGAAGGGAUGACACAGUAGGAUAAGCUAAGCACACUGUUGGUUAUGUGUGCCCAAGCAUUGAGGCAGUCAAAGUAGGCAAAUCCGCUUUGAUAAUGCUGGGAUGUGAUGGGGAGCGAAAUUUAGUAGCGAAGUAGCUGAUUUCACACUGUCAAGAAAAGUCUCUAUCGAGGUUAAAGGUACCCGUACCGCAAACCGACACAGGUGGGUGAGGAGAGUAUCCUAAGGCCAGCGAGAGAACUGUUGUUAAGGAACUCGGCAAAAUGACCCCGUAACUUAGGGAUAAGGGGUGCCACCAUCAGGUGGCCGCAGAGAAUAGGCCCAAGCGACUGUUUACCAAAAACAUAGGUUUCUGCUAAGUCGCAAGACGAUGUAUAGGAGCUGACGCCUGCCCGGUGCUGGAA
rnacentral:rRNA from 1 species